ACCGCACAUGGUUCAUUCACGAAUUGAAGUUCAAAAUAUUUAUAUUUAAUGCUAUAAUAUUUAUAGCUGUUAAUACGUGUGUAAAUGACUUUAUACAUAUUUUAUUAUCGAUAAAAUAUACGUGUUGUUGGGUUGUGUUGAGGAAAUUAUAUAUUGAGUGAGGUGUUGAGUCUAUUGUUUGAGAAACAAUAAAUUGUUGAUUUGUUGAGAUAUAUUGAUCUGUGGAGAUCAAUAGGUCACAGGGGUGACCAUGGCAUCUAUUGGUGAAUCACGCUCUCGUACCGGGCUGGUGGUUACUAAUAGUAUUAAAUCGUGAACCACGCUCUCGCGCCGGGCUGGUGGUUGCGAUCAGUUAGAGCUCUAGUCUGUCUGCCAAAUAUUGAGUGACCUUAUGAGGGUAACGGGGAGUGACUCAUAAGUGUAUAAUAUAUAUAUAUAUAUAUAUAUAUAUAUAUAUGUGAGAGUGAGAAAGUAUUGAGUGACCUUAUGAGCGAAAUUGAGAGUAACUCAUAUGUGUCUAUAUAUAUAUGUGAGAGUGAGAAAGUAUUGAGUGACCUUAUGAGCGAAAUUGAGAGUAGCUCAUAUGUGUCUAUAUAUAUAUGUGAGAGUGAGAAAGUGAUGAGAUUUUGUGGUGGUCGUUGUGAUUGUGUUAUUACUACAAUUUCAAUUGCUGGAGUUGAAAUUGUUAUAUUAAAUUUGUGCAAUCCUUUCGUUUACUCAUACGGGCUGUCAAGCUCACCGGGUUUGUGUUGUUGCAAUCCCGGUACACAUUAUAUAUUUGUGUAGCGGGAAAUCUUACAGGUCAGGAGAAUCGAGAAGGUGAUCAGGCUGCCUAGAGUAGUGGUAUUUGAGUUACAGCAUUAUUGUGAGUUUCGUUAUGUUUAUUUAGAACUUAUCAAUUUGGAGUUUGUGAUAGUGUGCUGUAAUAAGAAAUUGAGGAGUUGAGUAUUAUAUUAUUGAGUGGUGUGAGGCGUGUCACUCUGAAGGAAAAAAAAAUUAGAUUGGUAUUUGUAUUCGUAAUUAUUCAUGUUUCAGAUUUGAAUUUAUUAUUCAAAAUUCGGGGCGUGACAUGUGAGAUCUCAUUGCCUCUGCAGCUUCUCUAUUUGUUGUUCAUCAAAGAUGUACAUAUCCUCUACUGUAUGUCACUGAAUUGUAUUUAUUAUACUUGUUCUCAUCAAUGUCUUUUCUUUCCUGUAUUUGAAUAUAGUUUUGUUAGAUUUCCUGAGUUGAUUCCGUUAUCUAGUCUCUUAGCUUUCCUAUCCCUAGUUUGUUUAUGUUCAGAAACAUGGUUGGUUUAUGUCUUUUCUCAUAAUGCAGAUGUGUCUUUGUCGGGCGAGGAAAAAAACAGUUUGGUGGAAAAGUUAGGAAACGCUUUUUGGGCAUUGGUAGAAGAUGAUUCAUUGGAAGAUGAAAUAGAGGAUUUGUUGGUAUUUGAAGAACAGGCUUUGUUGGACGAGCUAGCCAAGGCAAAUUUGGAAGAGGAAGAAAAGGAGGAAGAAAGGCUUCUGGUACCAAUUCAGUAGGAGACAAGAAACUCAACAAAAGAGAGGCUUCUUUCACAAGUAUAGACUAUGAAUGUGUAUAUUCAGACGACAGUGACUUUGAUGAAGAAUUUCUUAAAGAUCUUGAUUGCCCACCUAUCGAACUAGGAGAUGAAAUAGAUUGGGGAUUGUUUGAAGGACAAUGAGCACCAUUUUUCACACUGCCGUACCUUUUCUUUGGUGUCCCGGAGGGCGCAACUCUUGGACCUGGGUAUGCAUUAACCUGCAAGGAAUGUUAUGAGGAGGGUGGCCACCCUGACAGACCCUGGGAAGCGCUCGCUGUUAGAAAGGUGUGCGACUUUUGCAUGUGGCGUGCACAUUGGACUGAAGAAUGCCCAUAUCAGGUACCAGAGGGCGCUCGUGGUAAUUGAGUACAAACCAAAUAAGCACAAACCAGUGGCUCCGUGAUUAUAUGUAUGUGUAUAUUUCUAGUUUGCAAUGCAAGUCUUGCGUUUUAAGGAAUGGUGUUCCCUUUGAUCGCUUUCCAUUUAAUAUGUUUUCAAGACUAUGAUCUAUAUAUGUUUUGUCAUAUAUAGCCACCAGUGAUUUUGCCAGUUAGAUGACAAACUUUGUUUCCCAAGACUAUGAUCGAUCUAUGUAUGUUUUGUCAUAUAUAGCCACCAGUGAUUUUGCCAGUUAGAUGACAAACUUUGUUUCCCAAGACUAUGAUCGAUCUAUGUAUGUUUUGUCAUA